CCCCUCCCACCACCCCAACCACCCCUCACUCCAUCUCCAAACGCUCCCCGCCUUCAUCCUCCUCAUCCUCCUCCCACCCCUCCGACGUGCUGAAGGAGCUGGAGGAGCUGGGGCGGCUCCGCGCCGAAGCCAAACGGGACCGGCAGCGGGACCGGGAGCGGGAGCGGGAGCUGGGAUGGGCGAGCUCCCGGCAGCUGCGGCAGCAGCAGAGCCUGGAGCACCGGCUGCUGGAACGGCGCUACCAGGAGCUGGCCGAGAGCCGGCGGCAGGCGCAGGCGGCGCGGAAAGCGGCGGCCGAGGAGGAACGCUUGGCCGACCUGGCCUCGGAUCUUCUGCUCCGCUACCUCCUGAGAGGGCCCGGAGGCGUCGUGGCCGAGGAUAAACGGUCCGAGGAGGAGGAGGAUGAGGAGGAGGAAGGGUUUGGAGGUGGGAAGGAUGGGUUUGGUGGUGAGGAAGAGGAUGAGGAGUUUGGUGGUUAUAAGAGGAAGGAGGGGUUUGGUGGUGGUGACCUCAAUGAUCUUGGUGGCUACAAGGGCAAGGACAGGUUUGGUCUUGGUGAGGACGUCAAUGAUGAGCUUGGUGGCCACCAGAGCUACAAGAGCAGGUUUGGCCUCAGCAAUGACCUCAAUGAUGAUCUCAGUGAUGACCUUGGUGGCUACAAGGCCAAGGACAGGUUUGGUCUUGGCGAUGACCUCAACGAUGACCUCAACGAUGACCUUGGUGGCCACCAAACCUACAAGACCAAGGACAGGUUUGGCCUCAGCAACGACCUCAACGAUGACCUUGGUGGCUACAAGGCCAAGGACAGGUUCAACCUUGGCAAUGACCUCAACGAUGACCUCAUCGAUGACCACCAGACCUUCAAGACCAAGGACAGAUUUGGGUUUGGCAAUGACCUCAACGAUGACCUCGAUGACCACCAGACCUACAGGACCAGGGACAGAUUUGGCCUCAACAACGACCUCAACGACGACUUUGACGUCUACAAAUCCAAGGACAGGUUCAACCUCGAUGGCUACAAGGGCGGCUACGACGCCAACGACGCCAACGAGGUCUUCAAGGUCAACCGGCGCUUCAAGCUCAGAGGUGGCGCCAACGAUGACCUGAAGGCCAACGAUGACCUCGGUGACAACUUCAAGAUCAGGGGCGGCUUGGACGACCUCAACGGCGGCUUGGAGGACAACGAGAUCCUCCCGGCGCGUGGCCACCGCGGCAACCGGAUCGCCACGGCUUCAUCAUCAUCAUCAUCAUCAUCUUCAGAGGUGACCACCGGCGAUUCCGAGGAGGUGUCACCACAAGACCCGGCCGAGGUGGACGAGCUGGACCCCGGAACCAUCGACCAACUGAUCGAGCUGUCCAGCAAGCUCCACCUGCCGGCCGACGACGUGGUGGACAUCAUCCACGACGUGGAGCAGAAACGCAAAGAGGAGGAGGCCACGGGCUUGGGCAUGGCCAUGGCGGCCAUGGGCGCGGUGGCGCCGGCCGCGGAUGAGGAGACGCCGCCGCCGAAGGUGCCGGGUCGGGUCCCCAAAUCCAGGAUCCGGCCGCCGGAGCAGAUGCCGGCCAGGACUUUGGUGCCGCGGCGUCCGCCGCCGCCGCUGAGGGAUCGCCAGGUGGAGAAAUAUCUCGAGAGGGUUUUGGGGAGCCCUCCCCGGGGGUAUCCC
ensembl:lncRNA